ensembl:ncRNA ZK757.8 ncRNA
AUUAAGAUUUUAUUUCGAUAAAAACGGGUGCAGCACAUUGAAAGAGUGAAAAAAGAGAUAUAGAGCAUCUACUUCGAGGAGGAGCACAUAAAAACCCGCUCCCAUAUCGGAAGAGGGAGAGAGAUGGACCUUGUUUGUUCGCCCAUUAUUUUCAUCUCUCUUGAUUCGAGUAAUGGACUUUUUAUUUUCUUUUUUGGAACAAAACAUUGAAAUAUUAGAUAUUCU